ensembl:lncRNA
ACCUCAUACCAGUCAGAAUGGCCAUCACCAAAAAAUUAUUUAUUUAUAUCAUCUAGAAUCAGAAGGUAUAAGUAUUUUAUUUUGAUUGAAAUAAAAAGCCCACUAUACUAAACCAUAAUUGAGAGAGGUUUGACAUGACUGGAUGAAGACAUUUGAAAUAAUAAAGAUCAUUUCUAUCUGCUAUGAGAUUUAUUAGAAAUCUAUAAAAGUUACUUAAUAUUUAUAUCAAGUUUUCAUUGGUUUCAAAAACAGUGCAACCCCCCCAAACAAAAGACCUAAAUAACAACACCCCCAGCUAUAUUUAGUAAUAUUUUUAUUAAUUCAAUCCUGAAUUUUCUGGUUAUUUUAGGGGAGUUGACAUUUUACAACUGUUUGUUUCUUUUGUAACUUUUCUUAGCCCUUAUUUUGCUUAAGAUAUUCUUGGCUAUUUAAAUAUUUCUAAAUUUUAUGCAGUCAAGUCUUCACUUAUGAAAAAAAAAAUUGGACAUGUUCUCCUGCCAGCAGGCAGCCAUUGCUGUACUGUCCCACACAAAAGGUGACAGUCGUCUCCUCCACACAGGAUGCCCUCCUGUGACUCCGCCUCGCCACCAUCACAGACAGUUGGCCAAGUAUUUGUAUUUGAUUCAAGCUCGAUCCAAAGAUCUCUUCCUAGAAUUGCAGGUCUCGAACCCAGGUCUCCCGCAUUGCACGUGGAUUCUUUACCAGCUGAACCACAAGGGAAGCUCCUAGAAUUAUAAUUCAAGACUUAAAUAAACCAAGUGGGUUUAACUAGAUUAUUUUCAGAGGCUGAGUAUAUACUUCCACUUGGGAGUGGCUGUGUAAAGCCAUCAGUGAGCCAGAUGAGUAGGCAGAUUCAGUCUAUAAAGAGAUACUGUAGAACAGGGCAGACCUGUGCAGAGAAGCCAAGAGACUGUGGCCCCAUAGGAGGGCAGCUAUGUUGGCCUCUUGAUGACUUGUUUUCACCCUCAGCUGAGGCUCCCAAAGGGCCUGUGUGUACCUGUUAUGGGUCUCAUAAAAUUCCUUACAUUUAUUCUAUUAAAUCCUAUUUGGCUUUAUUUACUUAUUUCUGGUAAUCACACAACUCUUGAAUAAAGACUUGUCCGCCAUAUUAAAAUGGAAUUUUAAAAUUCCUUCUCAGGCAGCUGUCAUCCUAGCAAACAUUACCUAAGGCUACUAUGGGAGUUGAGGGGUGAGAGGUAUCAGGGGUUCCUUACACCCUUCUGACAACAAGUUAAGAGGUAAAAGUCUUCACACAUGAGGUGAAACAAGCUUCUGUUACAAUUAGUUGAUCUGAUUACCCUUUUAAUAUUCUUUAUGUUUUCACUAAAUACCUAUGAAUAAUCCUCUGCACUUAAAUGGCUGCCACCUCCUGCCUGCUUCUCAGUUACGUGCCAAUAGGAGCUGAAUGUCUCUAAUGGUUUACAAGAGGAGGGAACAAACAAGUGACUUUGGAGUGGACUCUGCAGUCUUUGAUAGGACAGCACCAGUUUUCCAGAGGUGGGACACCCCAACUAGAUUACUUCCCACUCUGAGGAGGAACAGGUUUUCCUGACUUCCUCUCCUGCUGCUGCUGCUGCUAAGUCGCUUCAGGCAUGUCCGACUCUGUGCGNNNNNNNNNNNNNNGCCCACCAGGCUCCCCCGUCCCUGGGAUUCUCCAGGCAACAACACUGGAAGUGGGUUGCCAUUUCCUUCUCCUACUUUUCUUUUAAAAGUGACAAGUAAAACUAAGAUUGAGAUAAUAACAAUAGCAAACAGUGUGCUCUUUGUAAGGAAGGAAUAAACUUUCCUCUAGUCUCCGAGGUUCUUCUGGCUGACCUAACAAUUAAAUUGACAUGAAGAGACAGGUGGCACAGUGCUCAAGAACUCG